CCGACCCGCACGAAAGGCGAAACGAUCUGGACGCUGUCUCAACAAGGGACUCGGUGAAAUUGUAAUUCCGGUGAAGAUGCCGGAUACCUGCGACAGGACGGAAAGACCCCAUGGAGCUUUACUGUAGCUUGGCAUUGGGUCUUGGUACUACAUGUACAGCAUAGGUGGGAGGCUUUGAUUCCAGGACGCCAGUUUGUGCGGAGUCAUUGGUGGGAUACCACCCUUAGAUGUUUGGAAUUCUAAC
rnacentral:rRNA from 1 species